ACUAAGCUAUCAACAUUGUUUUGUUCUGAAUUUUGAUUCUUUUACUUUAAUCCAGGGUUGUGUUUGUUUAAGUAAUGAGGAAUAAGAAUUUGUUGUGUAUUGUAUGUGUUACAAAAAUGAUUCUUAGUAGUAUAAAAUUUCGGAUGGGAUGGGAUGUCGGUGCCCAAUAGUAGCUUAGCUGGUAAAGUCUAGGUGUUCUUCGUACAAUCAUAACAAGGACAUCAUAUUGUUUUAUGAAAUGAGACGUUCCAAUUCGGUAGUACAUUUUUCUUUGUUGACACUUUAAUGUGAAAUAUUUGUGUAUAUAUCCGUAUAAACUUCUUAUUACGGAAAUGUAUCAUUUUCAAGUAUGGAUGCAUAUUGCAUCAAUGACUCUGUAUUUACUGUGCCUAUGUCAGAUUUCUACGCACUUGCACAGGGGCAUUCCAUGGUUGAUAAUGUAUAUAUAUUUUGAAAAUCUAGACUUCAGUAUUAUUUUUCCUCAUGUUGACCCCGAUUUUCAAUGAAUAUGAUUUUUCAAUCUACUAUGGUUUGGUUGUCUCAAGAGCGUGGAAGUGGAAGGACAUGUAGAUUCAUCCCCCCCCCCCCCCCCGGGUACUUCAACUUCGUGCACAAUUUUACAUAUUGUUGUUUGUUGCUGCUUGAUUAAAUUGUGCAAAACAAAUACACCACUUCGUUUUUUGGGAUUGGUGUGGUGACCGGAUGUUUACGAUUUUAAUUUAAUCUAUAUUUCGUGAUUUUUAGUUAGGAUUGAGUAUUUAAUUAAUUGGAGACUUGCAGUUUGUAAUUUUGUGUUAUAUAUAUAUAUAUAUAUAUAUAUAUAUAACUGUCUGAUGGAAUAAGGAAACUUCCUGCCGCAGGUGACAAAGAGUGAGUGAAAUUGAAAAAGGUUUUGGUGCGGGUCCCACGUGACUUUUUUUUGUUUUGAAGAAUAAUGGGUUUGAUUUUCAAUUGUUAUAUAUAUAUAUAUAUAUAUUUGUGCAUAGCAUGCAGCAAAAUUGAAGGGAAAAUGGUGAUGGAAAUGUAGUGAGUUUCGUGGGUCUCACAAGGUUUGUUGAUUUAGUUACUUUAUUUAGACAUAUGUAGAUAUACAGGGUCUGGUGCAAAGGAGAUGCACCUGCCACCGAAUAGUGAGGAAAGAAAUGCAGUAUGAGAAAAAGAAAUGAUGUGAUGCGGGACCCACUUGAGGCUUUGUUUGGGCAACUUUGUUUGACUUUGGCGUGCAAAUGGCUUUGUAUUGUGCAAUGAAUCAAAUGUAAAGAGACAAGGACAUAAAAAGGAGACAGCCGAAAGUAAAGUGAUAGUGGAGGGGUCUACUUUAGUGAUAAGCUUACAAUUGAAAUGAUUUUUGUUAGUGAGUUGUAUUGAGAUAUUUAUUGUGUCGGUGGACCUUCUCUGUAUAUGUAUCUGCUUGUGACUUUGGUAAUACAGAACGCAAGAUAAAAUUAGAGUGAUACAGAGCGUGAAGGCAGAGUGCGCUGAGAGUUCGAGAAAUAAGGGAGGUCUUGGAGCUUGAAGCUUUGAUGAUUUAGUGUGAAAAAGUUCUUUUUCAAGCAAGACCACGCCAGUGGAGGAGAUUCUAACUAUUGACAUCAAGCCUGGCUGGAAGAAAGGCACAAAGAUCACCUUCCCAGAGAAAGGUAAUGAGCGGCCAAAUGUAAUACCUUCAGAUCUUGUCUUCGUCAUCGACGA